AUUUAACUGGGACUCAAAGAAAGGCGGUCUUAAUCGUUUAUAUGAGUCAGUGGGCAGUCUCCAGCACUUGAAUGAAAGCUCCAGUUUACUGCUCAGCUGCUGUAUUGGGUGGAGUCCUGUGCGCUUAACGCUCCACUGGAACAGGAGACCUGCCACAUUACGCACGGAGAGUUCGCCAAGCACGCCUGUUCCGCGAGGAGACGGGAGGGAAGAGAACUUACAGAACAAAGCUAACGAUUUCAUGUUUUUGUUUACGAAAAGGAAGAGUUUGUUAAUCCAUCCCUUUUAUACAGAGUGGAGUUUUGGGACAUUUUUUAUAUUUUUCUCUGUAGCCUAUGAUUAUUUUAAGAUUAUUUGAAAAGACUGUGUUUGAGGAGAUUAAAAGAUUAUUCAGAGUGAGAGCAGACGCGUUCCAGGACUUUAUCUCCAAAGACUGCUCGGAAACCACUGACCCCUCAUGAGAUACCCACAAGUCACCUGGCAUUUGACCCGAUAACCAUGGACGUCCGAGUGCAGGCCAAUCCUAACCUCCAUUUCGGGGUCAACGGGGGUCAUGAUGGCGCUAAUAGAAACUCCCGCAGUAGACCAUUUGUGAGUAUAACUUGAAUGAAAACAUUUCAGUUAAUGUUUUUUUUUUCUUAGUAUCUCAAAUAUAAAAUUCGAAAUAUUUCUCCAUUUGUUCACAAUUUAUGCACCCAUGUUAGGGGGGUAUGGCAUUGAAGAAUUCACCUGUUCCUGGUUGAGAGCAGGUGCUUUUCAUUGUGUGACUUGCUGUGCUUUUCAAACCUGACUGUGCUGUUUAUACAGCGAAGUCUGUCUCCAUGCCCCCCUCUG
ensembl:lncRNA